rnacentral:rRNA from 1 species
AUGCUAUGUCAACAGGGCCUACUAAAUGCAAUUAAUCAAGUAUUUCUCAACUACCACCAAAGAUUUUGCCUUAGACACUUGUAUGCAAACUUCCAGAAUGCUGGGUUUAGGGGAGAAGAUCUUAAGAAAUGCAUGGAUAAUGCUAGUUAUGCUUAUAACCAAUACAAGCUUGACAUUGCAAUGAAUGAUCUAAAAAAUGAGAGUGAGGAAGCUUGGAAGUGGCUGAGUGGAAUACCUGCAAGAUUCUGGGCUAGGCAUGCUUUUGACACAAACUGUAAGACAGACUUGGUUGUUAACAACCUAUCUGAGGUGUUCAACAAGUACAUCCUUGAUUUUAGGAAAAAACCUAUUAGGACUAUGAUUGAUGGUAUUAAGAAUAAGCAGAUGGUGAGGUGGCAUAGGAAUAGAGAGAGUGGAAAGGCAACUCUGUGGGAGAUCACAUCCCAUUAUGCUGAGAAGUUAGAGGUGGAAAAGGAAAGGGCCAGAUUCUGUAAACCCAUUCAAGCUGGUGUUAAUUUAUGGCAAGUAACCAGUGGGCAGCAAACACAUGCUAUCAACUUGGCACUUCAUACAUGUGGUUGCAGAAAGUGGGACCUAAGUGGGACACCAUGCAACCAUGCAAUAUCGGCAAUUAACAAGGAAAAAAGAUUUCUAGAGGACUGUGUGCAAAUUCUUCAAAAAACCAUUUUACCUAGCAGCUUAUGA